AUGACUCUCGGCAACGGAUAUCUCGGCUCUUACAUCGAUGAAGAACGUAGCAAAAUGCGAUACUUGGUGUGAAUUGCAGAAUCCCGUGAACCAUCGAGUCUUUGAACGCAAGUUGCGCCCGAACCCUUCGGGUUGAGGGCACGUCUGCCUGGGCGUCACG
rnacentral:rRNA from 10 species